ACACACACACAGUCAGACACAAACACAUACACACAGUCAGACACACACACACACACACACACAGUCAGACACAUACACAGUCAGACACAAACACACACACAGUCAGACACAAACACACACAGACACACAGACACAAACACACACACACACAGUCAGACACAAACACACACACACACACGCAGUCAGACACACGCACACACACUCACAAACACACAAACACAGACACAAACACACACAGACACAAACACACAUUCAGACACAUACACACACACACAGUCACACACAUACACAGACACAAACACACACAGUCAGACACAAACACAGUCAGACACACACACAAACACACACACACUCACAAACACAGUCAGACACAAACACACACACACACA